CUCCCCCAAGUAGAUUUCUGUCUUUUCUCCACAGGGCAUAUGCACAAGAACCAGAUUUACCACUGCUGAGAUACUCCUGGGGAUGACUAUCUUGGUCUUAUCAUCUGUAAACUUUCCUCAGGCCAUUUUACUCACAGCUGAUUAGUGAUAGGGUGGGGAUAGACCAACCCUCCAGAUAAUUUGAUUCUUAAAUUGAUUCCUGACAUAAAAGAAGUCUGGUAUCCUGGAACAGUAAAUUCCAGCUCAGCACAGUACCAGGAGGUCACAGAAAGUCGUCAAGUCUACUUAAGAGCCCCACUGAGUAUGGGUCUAUGGAGCAGCCAUGGAUGGAGGGAAAGAAAAUCAGGCAAAGGGGAGUGUCACGUAAUUAACAAAGGCUACUGAGGCUACCCCUCACUUUGCUGAUGGCGCAGUCAGUGACAUGUUGAGUAAACACCAGGCCAACUAGAAGUAACAUGGAGAUGGAAAGACCUCAUGACCCUUGUGCCUGAGUGGCAUUUUAUUGCGGAUCCUCAGGGGUACCUUACCAGGAUGCUGAAUAAAUUAUGUAGGCGAA